AGCGCCAAGGCUCAGUGGUAGAGCGCCCGCUUUGCAUAUAGCUUGCGGGAGGUCUGGGGUUCGAUCCCCCAUAUCUCCA